rnacentral:rRNA from 1 species
UGGGGAAUAUUGCACAAUGGGCGCAAGCCUGAUGCAGCCAUGCCGCGUGUAUGAAGAAGGCCUUCGGGUUGUAAAGUACUUUCAGUCGGGAGGAAGGUGGUAAGGUUAAUAACCUUAUCAAUUGACGUUACCGACAGAAGAAGCACCGGCUAACUCCGUGCCAGCAGCCGCGGUAAUACGGAGGGUGCAAGCGUUAAUCGGAAUUACUGGGCGUAAAGCGCACGCAGGCGGUUGAUUGAGUCAGAUGUGAAAUCCCCGGGCUUAACCCGGGAAUUGCAUCUGAUACUGGUCAGCUAGAGUCUUGUAGAGGGGGGUAGAAUUCCAUGUGUCGCGGUGAAAUGCGUAGAGAUGUGGAGGAAUACCGGUGGCGAAGGCGGCCCCCUGGACAAAGACUGACGCUCAGGUGCGAAAGCGUGGGGAGCAAACAGG